GACGAACGCUGGCGGCGUGCCUAAUACAUGCAAGUCGAACGAGAGCGACCGGUGCUUGCACUGGUCAAUCUAGUGGCGAACGGGUGAGUAACACGUGGGUAACCUGCCCAUCAGAGGGGGAUAACAUCCGGAAACGGAUGCUAAAACCGCAUAGGUCUUCGAGCCGCAUGGCUUGAAGAGGAAAAGAGGCGCAAGCUUCUGCUGAUGGAUGGACCCGCGGUGCAUUAGCUAGUUGGUGAGGUAACGGCUCACCAAGGCCGUGAUGCAUAGCCGACCUGAGAGGGUGAUCGGCCACAUUGGGACUGAGACACGGCCCAAACUCCUACGGGAGGCAGCAGUAGGGAAUCUUCCGCAAUGGACGCAAGUCUGGCGGAGCAACGCCGCGUGAGUGAAGAAGGUUUUCGGAUCGUAAAACUCUGUUGUUAGAGAAGAACAAGUGCUAGAGUAACUGUUAGCGCCUUGACGGUAUCUAACCAGAAAGCCACGGCUAACUACGUA
rnacentral:rRNA from 1 species